GCCUGCAGUCCCAGCUACUUGGGAGGCUGAGGCGGGAGGAUCGCUUGAGCCCAGGAAUUUUGGACUGUUAGUACACUAUGCCAGUCGCAUGUCCACGCUAAAUUCAGCAUAAAUAUGGUGAACUCCUGGGAUCAGGGGACCACCAGGUUGCCUAAGGAGGGGUGAGUUGGCCCAGGUUGGAAACAGAACAGGUCAGAACUCCCUUGCUGAUCAGAAGUGGGAUCAUGCCUGUGAAUAGCUACUGCACUCCAACCUGGGCAGCAUAGCUAGAUGCUGUCUUU
rnacentral:SRP_RNA from 1 species